rnacentral:rRNA from 1 species
CACUCCUACGGGAGGCAGCAGUGGGGAAUAUUGGACAAUGGGCGCAAGCCUGAUCCAGCCAUGCCGCGUGAGUGAUGAAGGCCCUAGGGUUGUAAAGCUCUUUCACCGGUGAAGAUAAUGACGGUAACCGGAGAAGAAGCCCCGGCUAACUUCGUGCCAGCAGCCGCGGUAAUACGAAGGGGGCUAGCGUUGUUCGGAUUUACUGGGCGUAAAGCGCACGUAGGCGGACUAUUAAGUCAGGGGUGAAAUCCCGGGGCUCAACCCCGGAACUGCCUUUGAUACUGGUAGUCUUGAGUUCGAUAGAGGUGAGUGGAAUUCCGAGUGUAGAGGUGAAAUUCGUAGAUAUUCGGAGGAACACCAGUGGCGAAGGCGGCUCACUGGCUCGAUACUGACGCUGAGGUGCGAAAGCGUGGGGAGCAAACAGGAUUAGAUACCCGAGUAGUCCCAU